UACGUAGGGUGCGAGCGUUAAUCGGAAUUACUGGGCGAAAAGCGUGCGCAGGCGGCUUUGCAAGACAGAUGUGAAAUCCCCGGGCUCAACCUGGGAACUGCAUUUGUGACUGCAAGGCUAGAGUACGGCAGAGGGGGAUGGAAUUCCGCGUGUAGCAGUGAAAUGCGUAGAUAUGCGGAGGAACACCAAUGGCGAAGGCAAUCCCCUGGGCCUGUACUGACGCUCAUGCACGAAAGCGUGGGGAGCAAACAGG
rnacentral:rRNA from 1 species